rnacentral:rRNA from 1 species
GACGAACGCUGGCGGCGUGCUUAACACAUGCAAGUCGAACGGGCUUCUGGGGUUCUGGCUUUUUUGGUUGGGGCUCUGGGGGUUAGUGGCGAACGGGUGAGUAACACGUGAGUAACCUGCCCUUCACUUUUGGAUAACCGCUUGUAAUGGUGGCUAAUACGGGCGGUUUCUGGGUCUGUCGCAUGGCGGGUUCGGGAAAGAUGGCACUGUUUGGCGGUUUUGGUGGGGGAUGGGCUCGCGGCCUAUCAGCUUGUUGGUGGGGUGGUGGCCUGCCAAGGCUUUGACGGGUAGGCGGUCUGAGAGGGUGGGCCGUCACUGUGAGAGAGAGACGCGGCCGAGUCCUCUGGGAGGGGCCGGAGUGGAAUAUUUUGCAAUAUGGGCGGAAGCGUGAUAGAGAGACGGCGCGUGAGGGGAAGGGGCCUGGGGGUUGUGAACCUCUUUCGGCAGAGAAAAAGGACUUGCCCGUGUGGUGGGGUUGACGGUGGCUGGGAAAAAUGAAGCGCCGGCUAACUACGUG